rnacentral:rRNA from 1 species
GACGAACGCUGGCGGCGUGCCUAAUACAUGCAAGUCGAGCGGACUUAUCUGGGUAGCUUGCUAUUUGGAUAAGUUAGCGGCGGACGGGUGAGUAACACGUGGGUAAUCUGCCUCGUAGUUUGGGAUAACAGGCCGAAAGGUUUGCUAAUACCGGAUAAGUUCAUGUUGUUGCAUAAUGGCAUGAAGAAAGGGGAAACCCGCUAUGAGAUGAGCCCGCGCCCCAUUAGCUAGUUGGUGGAGUAACAGCCUACCAAGGCGACGACGGGUAGCCGGCCUGAGAGGGUGACCGGCCACACUGGAACUGAGACACGGCCCAGACUCCUACGGGGGGCAGCAGUAGGGAAUCUUCGGCAAUGGGCGAAAGCCUGACCGAGCGACGCCGCGUGAGGGACGAAGGCCUUCGGGUUGUAAACCUCUGUCUGGGGGGACGAGAACGGACGGUACCCCCGGAGGAAGCCCCGGCUAACUACGUG